GGGGGGGAAAAAUUAAUAAAUAAAUAAAUAUGAAAAAAAUUUUUAAUAUAAAUAUUUAAUGGGGGUUAAAGUAUUUUAUAGAAAAAAAUUGAAAAAUUUAUAGUUAAAUAGUAUUGUGAAAGAAAUUUGAAAAAUUUUAAAAUAAAAAUUUAUAUAAAAGUAAAUUUUAUUUAUUGUAUCUUGGGUAUCAGAGUUUAUUAAAAUAUGAUUUUAUAUAAAAUCAUUUCGAAUUUAAAAGAGUUAAUUAAUUAAAAAAUUUAAUAUAAUAUAAUUAUUUUAAAUAAUUAAUUAGAAAUGAAAAGUUAAUCGUUUUUAAAUAUAUCUAAUUUUUUUGGAAAAAAAUUUAAUUUUAAAUUAAUUUAAUUUAAUAAUUAAUUAAUUAAUUAUUAUUAGUUUUAAUUAAAUAUUUUAAGGGAUAAGCUUUAAAUUAAAAUAUUAUAAAUAAUUAUUAGUAGAAUUGAAAAUUUUAAAAUUUGUAUUUUUUAAAAAUUAUAAUUUAUUAUAAAUAAUUUCAUUUAAUUAAAAUUUAAUAUUUAUUAUUUAAUUUUUUACAAAAAUAAAAUUUUUAAUAAAAAAAAGUUAGAAAUAAUGAUAAAAUUAGUAUAUAAUUAAUAAAUUUUUAAUAAAUUAAAAAAAUUAAUAAAAAAGAAUUCGGCAAAAAUUUAUAUUCACUUGUUUAUCAAAAACAUGUCUUUUUGAUAAUAAUUUAAAGUCUAAUCUGCCCACUGAAAAAUUUAAAGGGCUGCAGUAUAUUGACUGUACAAAGGUAGCAUAAUAAAUAGUCUUUUAAUUGAAGACUUGUAUGAAUGAUUUGAUGAGAUAUAGACUGUUUCUUUAUUAAUAAUAGAAUUUAAUUUUUUAGUUAAAAAGCUAAAAUUUUUUUAAAAGACGAGAAGACCCUAUAGAGUUUAAUUUUUUAAAUUUUAUAAUUAUUUUAAAAAAUUUAUAAUUUAUAAAAAUUAAAAAAUUUUAUUGGGGUGAUGGAAAAAUUUAAUUAACUUUUUUUAAAGAUUUAACAUUAAUAUAUGAAUUUAUGAUCCAUAAUUUAUGAUUAAAAGAUUAAAUUACCUUAGGGAUAACAGCGUAAUUUUUUUUUUUAGUUCAAAUAAAAAUUAAAGUUUGCGACCUCGAUGUUGGAUUAAGAUAAAAUUUAAAUGCAAAAGUUUAAAAUUUUGAUCUGUUCGAUCAUUAAAAUCUUACAUGAUCUGAGUUCAAACCGGUGUAAGCCAGGUUGGUUUCUAUCUUUAUAUAAAUAAAAUAAUUUAGUACGAAAGGAUCAAUUAUUUUAAAUAAUUUAAUUAAAAGAAUAUUAAAAAUUUUUUUUUG
rnacentral:rRNA from 1 species